UACGUAGGGUGCGAGCGUUGUCCGGAAUUAUUGGGCGUAAAGAGCGUGUAGGCGGCCAUACAGGUCCGUUGUGAAAACUGGAGGCUUAACCUCCAGACGUCGAUGGAAACCGUAUGGCUAGAGUCCGGAAGAGGAGAGUGGAAUUCCCGGUGUAGUGGUGGAAUGCGUAGAUAUCGGGAGGAACACCAGUGGCGAAGGCGGUUGCCUGGAGCUUUGCUGACGCUGAGGCGCGAAAGCGUGGGGAGCGAUCCGG
rnacentral:rRNA from 1 species